AGCGUUUCGAUGAUCGAGACAAGGAUCGAUGAAAGCGUUCAACCAGAAAAUUUAGAGAGGACGGAGAAGACUACACUAGCCUACUGAUUGGAAGCAUAUUUCUACAGAAUAAUGUCCAGAGGAAAUGACGUGCGAGUUUAUGUUGGAAACCUUCCACCAGACAUAAGGGCGAGGGACAUUGAGGAUUUGUUCUACAAGUUUGGAAAAAUUGCCUUUGUCGACUUGAAAACAAGGCGAGGGCCGCCAUUUUGUUUUGUUGAAUUCGAGGACCCAAGAGACGCAUCAGACGCUGUCCACGAAAGAGAUGGCUACAACUAUGAUGGAUAUACACUGAGGGUGGAGUUCCCGCGAGGUGGAGGACCAGGUGGUUCUAGAUCUAGAGGGGGUGGAGGAGGGUAUGGCUUCCGUGGGGGUCGUGGACCACCAGGUGGGAGAGGAGGACCCCCAUCCAGAAGAUCUGAAUACAGAGUUUUAGUCUCUGGAUUACCACCAUCUGGCAGCUGGCAGGAUCUUAAAGAUCACAUGAGGGAAGCAGGAGAUGUGUGUUAUACAGAUGUCUACAAAGAUGGAACUGGAGUUGUUGAAUUUCUCAGGAAAGAAGACAUGAAACAUGCUGUCAGCAAACUGGAUGACACCAAGUUUAGGUCUCAUGAGGGAGAAGUGUCUUACAUCCGUGUGAAAGAAGAUUACAGAGGAGGCGGAGGAAGGUCAAGGUCCCGCAGCAGAAGUAUCACACCCCCAAGACGAUCCAGGGCAUCCCCCAGAUAUUCACCAGUCAGGGGCCGAUCAAGGUCUAGGUCCAGAUCUUAAAUGUAACAAACAAGUGGUGCAAGGAUCAUAAAGAAAUGAAAGAUGACAAGCAUUGGCAAGCAUUUAAAAAAGACGGUUCAUGGUUUUUGCUCUGUGGGAAAGUUUGGAUCAUUAUGAUGACAAGCUUGGAAAUUUGGGAUGGAUGAAUUGGAUUUAUCAUGUUUGGAUAAUAGGAUACAAACAUGGAUAAUUAGGAUAACUAUCUUGGAUCAAUUGGGAUCAAGGGAUGAGGAUUUGGAUUUUUUCAGUCCCCUCUCAAUAAAAGGAAUCUGGAUGGAUCCUUAGACCCUAACUGGAAUUAUUUUGGAAUUCAUGAAUCCAUCUAUGUAGGCAAAAUAAUCAUCAGGGUUAAGAUUUAACCUCUGUUUUAAAAGAAUUGGCAGUAAAUAACAUUGCUUCAUUGGAUAAUCACAAAUAAUUACCUUAUUAAUGGCAAGUUGUGAAGCAUUAUUAUUUAUGGCCUUUUGAUCACUGAAUGAUCAUUUCUUAAACAUGGAAGGAGUCUUUUGUUAAUGCAGGAUAAAACUGCGAUGAAAUUAUCCGUAGAUGCUUGGGAUUGCUCUUUUCUCAAAGUACGGAUUACAUGUUCUGGAAAGGAUUGUAAACCAGUCAUUUCAGGCUAAGUUCAAUGAAAAAUCGUAAGCAAUUUUAAACAAAAUGAUGUAGUUUAGUAUCAGGUUUAAUCCUUUAAGUUUAGGGAAAAAAGUGUCUGAUAAAGAACCCUGGAAAAUGAUUUGUUGAGCUUUGUGCUCAAUGUUACUCAUGAAUAACAUUUUAAAAUGUAUGGUCUUGCUUCACAGGCCUGUCUGUAAUGCAUGACUAGUUAACAUUUUAAGUUGGACUCGAGGUUACUGGUAUUGGAUCGUUGUCUUGAAUUCUAAGGAGGAUUCUAGUUGGAGUUACCCUUUGGAUAGGGAUUUGGUAAGUUGAGGGAGGUUUUGAUCAAUGAUUUUAAGGGGUUGUCCAGCUAUGUGGAGGGAAGGAAGACUAAUAGUAAACUAACUUGAGGUUUAAAUGGCAUUUUUUGUUCCCUUAAAAGUUAACUUCUAUUUGUUUUUACGCAAAAUGUGUGGUUUUAUGAAACGAUUGAUGGAUGUGUGCUAUGAUAAUCAUGUUUCUUUUCAGCAUAAUCAAUAAAACAUCACAAAUACA